rnacentral:rRNA from 1 species
UACGGAGGGUGCGAGCGUUAAUCGGAAUUACUGGGCGUAAAGCGUGCGUAGGCGGUUCGUUAAGUCAGAUGUGAAAGCCCUGGGCUCAACCUGGGAACGGCCUUUGAAACUGGCGGACUAGAGAUUUGUAGAGGGGAGUGGAAUUUCCGGUGUAGCGGUGAAAUGCGUAGAUAUCUGAAGGAACACCAGUGGCGAAGGCGACUCCCUGGACUAGAACUGACGCUGAGAUACAAAAGCGUGGGUAGCAAACAGGAUUAGAUACCCUGGUAGUCCACGCCGUAAACAAUGUCAACUAGCCGUUGGUCCUAUUUACAGGAUUAGUAGCGCAGCUAACGCAUUAAGUUGACCGCCUGGGGAGUACGGCCGAAAGGUUA